rnacentral:rRNA from 1 species
CUCGUAGGUGGCUAACUAAGUCAGACGUGAAAUCCCCAGGCUUAACCUGGGAACUGCGUCUGAUACUGGAUGGCUUGAAUUCGGGAGAGGGAUGCAGAAUUCCAGGUGUAGCGGUGAGAUGCGUAGAUAUCUGGAGGAAUACCGGUGGCGAAGGCGGCAUCCUGGACCGAGAUUGACACUGAUGAGCAAAGCGAGGGAGCAAACG